UACGAAGGGGGGCUAGCGUUGUUCGGAAUUACUGGGCGUAAAGGGCGCGUAGGCGGCUUUGAUAGUCGGGUGUGAAAUGCCUGGGCUUAACCCAGGAACUGCACUCGAAACUCCAAGGCUUGAGUGUGGGAGAGGUUGGUGGAAUUCCCAGUGUAGAGGUGAAAUUCGUAGAUAUUGGGAAGAACACCGGUGGCGAAGGCGGCCAACUGGACCACAACUGACGCUGAGGCGCGAAAGCGUGGGGAGCAAACAGG
rnacentral:rRNA from 1 species